rnacentral:rRNA from 1 species
AACGUAGGACGCAAGCGUUAUCCGGAGUUACUGGGCGUAAAGCGCGGGCAGGCGGCUCGAAACGUCUGAUGUGAAAUCUCCUCGCUCAACGGGGAGAGGCCAUUGGAAACGGUCGGGCUGGAGGGCAGUAGAGGCAGGCGGAAUUCCGGGUGGAGUGGUGAAAUGCGUAGAGAUCCGGAGGAACACCAGAGGCGAAGGCGGCCUGCUGGGCUGCACCUGACGCUGAACCGCGAAAGCCAGGGGAGCGAACGGG